rnacentral:rRNA from 1 species
UACGUAGGGUGCAAGCGUUAAUCGGAAUUACUGGGCGUAAAGCGUACGCAGGCGGCUAUGUAAGACAGGUGUGAAAUCCCCGGGCCUAACCUGGGAACUGCAUUUGUGACUGCAUAGCUAGAGUCCGUCAGAGGGGGGUGGAAUUCCACGUGUAGCAGUGAAAUGCGUAGAGAUGUGGAGGAACACCGAUGGCGAAGGCAGCGCCCUGGGAUGAGACUGACGCUCAUGUACGAAAGCGUGGGGAGCAAACAGG